rnacentral:rRNA from 1 species
UGGGGAAUAUUGCACAAUGGGCGAAAGCCUGAUGCAGCGACGCCGCGUGAGGGAUGACGGCCUUCGGGUUGUAAACCUCUUUCAGUAGGGACGAAGCGCAAGUGACGGUACCUGCAGAAGAAGCACCGGCUAACUACGUGCCAGCAGCCGCGGUAAUACGUAGGGUGCGAGCGUUGUCCGGAAUUACUGGGCGUAAAGAGCUCGUAGGCGGUUUGUCACGUCGUCUGUGAAAUCCUAGGGCUUAACCCUGGACGUGCAGGCGAUACGGGCUGACUUGAGUACUACAGGGGAGACUGGAAUUUCUGGUGUAGCGGUGGAAUGCACAGAUAUCAGGAAGAACACCGAUGGCGAAGGCAGGUCUCUAGGUAGUAACUGACGCUGAGGAGCGAAAGCAUGGGUAGCGAACAGG